UUUGGUUAACAUUGAUGGGGUAUAGCAAAUGGAACCACAGUUGGGCAGUACAACAGAGUAAUCAAGAGCCCAAAAGAAAACUGAGAGAUGGGGAAGAUAGUAGACAAAGCUAGGAUACAACAGCUCUCUGAAGAGCUGGCCUGGCGCAUCAUGGUAGAAGAAAUUUCCACUAACCAAGGUAAAACAGGAUCUUGGGAAAACAUACACUUCUUUGGUAAUAAAGUAUCUUUUAAAAUCCUGAACACGGAAGAAAAACAACAAAGGGAAAUGACAGCUGAAAGAUUACCCCAAGCUUGAUACAAGACAAGCUUCUAUGAAACAGAGUUGGAGAAUGCUCUCGAGGUUGGAAAAGACAAAACAAUAAAAGUCAGGAGAGUUGAAAUUUCAGGUUUCAUCUUGUUUCAAGUCUCAUUUCCUUGCGCCAGAUUAAGGUAUCUACUUCCUCAAUCUCCCACUCAGCCUCAGGUUAUCCUUUUAUCUCUUCCAAGAUGCUCUAACAUAAAUCCGGGUGGGAAAAGAAGGUCUACCCCACUUCUACCGAAACUACAGCAAGAAGUGCCUCUCCCUGAGUUUUUUAAAAAAAGGAACUCUGCUCUGGAAAGAUACUAGAAGAUGGCUGACAACAGUUCUCAAUGAGGGGGUUAAUGGUCUUAUUUAAUGAAGGGAGAUCCACUCCCUGAUAUAGUACCUGACCAUCCA